GUUGUUUUGGCAGAAAAAAUGUAAUAAAUUUAGGAUUUAUAAAUGUAAUUAAUUUACAAACAACA
rnacentral:tRNA from 1 species